CUUUGUAAAGGAGGUGAUUACUAACGACGCGAUGUGGAAAUGUUUCUGAAAUGAAAAUUGUUUGCAAAUUAAUUUCGUGUCGAAAGAGAAAAAACUUGAGAUGGAGGAACCGUCGAAAACAAAAAGCCUCUUUGAACAAAUGAAUGUCGGAGUUUUGAAAUACUUAGAGAACAAGACAGGUGUGUGUAAGCUAGAGUUGGAACCCAGAAGACCAGCAGAUAGACCAAGCAUAUUGGCCUGGGAACAGAAAAAUACUGUGUUUUUACCUGAAGAUUUGAAGAGCUUCUAUUUGACAUCUGAUGGUUUUUUGUUGACAUGGUGUGUUAAAAUUGAAAAUGGACCAGUUCCAGUUGGACGUAUGUAUCUCAACAGUGUAAGCAAGAUGAUGAAGUUUGGUGGGCCAGCAAACAAUACUUUAGUCAAUCCUAGUUUAGCUGACCUUGAUGCUGAUUCUGAUGCUGAGGAUGAAACUUCAGGUACUGAGAAGCCUACAUUUGAUAGUCGCUGUAAGAUAUUCGAGCUAGAUCCUUGUGAUGGGUAUGGAAAGGUCUGCCUUGUAUUUAAGGAAAACAAAACAGCUCCAGAAUAUAAAAAGUCAGCUGACAUUGUGUCAAAGGUGUAUACCUCAGAUUAUAUGACAUAUGGUGGAACAGAUCCCAAAAUUGAAGUAUGGUUCCUGGAUCGAGCUUUACGCUGGCACUACAUUGCAGACUCAUUCACCGCGUAUUACCGGCUGAUGAUCAUGCAUCUUGGAUUGCCUCAGUGGCAGUAUGCCUUCACAGAUAUUGGACUCUGCCAGCAGGCAAAGCAAUGGUUCAACAUGUAUGCACCUCUUCGACUUGAACUUGAUGCUGAACUUGGCAUGCCUGGUAUUAUACGAUCGGAAUCAAACACUUCAACGACCCAGAUUGAUGUUGGAAAAGUUUUCAAAGGAAAAUCUGAUAAAAAGUAAAAAGCCUGUUCCAGCACAGACACAGUCACAACAGUCACAGAGUCUCAGGAAGAAACCGACAGUAGCAUCAGCAAAGGUUGGUCAACCACCAGGCUUAAAAUCCAGUGGCUCAUCAUCACAGCUAGCAGGGAAGAAGUGAUCAUGGUUCCAACAAUAAGUUUUAUGGACCAAACUUCAAUCA
rnacentral:misc_RNA from 1 species